rnacentral:rRNA from 1 species
UACGGGGGGGGCAAGCGUUGUUCGGAAUUACUGGGCGUAAAGGGCUCGUAGGUGGCCAACUAAGUCAGACGUGAAAUCCCUCAGCUUAACUGGGGAACUGCGUCUGAUACUGGAUGGCUUGAGUUAGGGAGAGGGAUGCGGAAUUCCAGGUGUAGCGGUGAAAUGCGUAGAUAUCUGGAGGAACACCGGUGGCGAAGGCGGCAUCCUGGACCAACACUGACACUGAGGAGCGAAAGCCAGGGGAGCAAACGGG